UACAGAGGUCUCGAGCGUUAGGCGGAAUCACUGGGCUUAAAGCGUGUGUAGGUGGAUCGUUAAGUACCUUGUGAAAUCCCACGGCUUAACCGUGGAACUGCUUGGUAUACUGGCGGUCUUGAGCCACUUAGGGGCUACCGGAACAAAUGGUCGAGCGGUGAAAUGCGUAGAUAUCGGAAGGAACACCUGUGGCGAAAGCGGCUCACUGGACCAUUACUGACGCUGAUGCACGAAAGCUAGGGGAGCAAACAGG
rnacentral:rRNA from 1 species